CGUGAUCCGGGUUGCGGACAGUGUCUGGUGGGUAGUUUGACUGGGGCGGUCUCCUCCUAAAGAGUAACGGAGGAGCACGAAGGUUGGCUAAUCCUGGUCGGACAUCAGGAGGUUAGUGCAAUGGCAUAAGCCAGCUUGACUGCGAGCGUGACGGCGCGAGCAGGUGCGAAAGCAGGUCAUAGUGAUCCGGUGGUUCUGAAUGGAAGGGCCAUCGCUCAACGGAUAAAAGGUACUCCGGGGAUAACAGGCUGAUACCGCCCAAGAGUUCAUAUCGACGGCGGUGUUUGGCACCUCGAUGUCGGCUCAUCACAUCCUGGGGCUGAAGUAGGUCCCAAGGGUAUGGCUGUUCGCCAUUUAAAGUGGUACGCGAGCUGGGUUUAGAACGUCGUGAGACAGUUCGGUCCCUAUCUGCCGUGGGCGCUGGAGAACUGAGGGGGGCUGCUCCUAGUACGAGAGGACCGGAGUGGACGCAUCACUGGUGUUCGGGUUGUCAUGCCAAUGGCACUGCCCGGUAGCUAAAUGCGGAAGAGAUAAGUGCUGAAAGCAUCUAAGCACGAAACUUGCCCCGA
rnacentral:rRNA from 4 species